CUGCAGGCAGGCACGGUGAUUAGGGACAUUGGUUGGAAAAAUCUGUUCAUUAGCCUAAUAAAGGCUGCCUAAGCCUGCUUGUUCAGCCACUAAUAAUCCAACUAUUAGUGCCACGCUAGAAGCAGUGGUAUUAAUAUGUGUAGUUUACUAGUGUCACAACAGCAAUAUGGGUCAGUUUAGUCGUUCCUUGGUUUCACAGUCAGGCACCCUGUGCUGUGCAGGAGAGAGAAAAUGAAUGAAUGAACAAGUCUGACAAAACAGAUCACACCCCACGGCGAACCCCCAAUAUGUUUUUGUCUUCAAUUCAGAGGCAACCCAGGAGCCUUAGGAACAGGGUUGUCUGAGGACAAGAAAACCAGCCCCUUAUGGUGAUGGAUGUUCUUGAAAAGCAGUUUAUUUUUUUUUUCAUAGGUGGUUUACUCAUUUUCUGCACAGAGGAGCUUUGGCUGUAUAUCAAAUAUUAACAGAGGGUAAUUGUUGGGGGAGCAGGCAUUCGCCUUCCCGGCAGCAUCGCGCAGUGCACGGGCACACACACCUCCCGGCAUGUGCUGAGACCAACACCCAGCUUGGGAAUGCCCAGAUUGUCGUUGGAGGAGGAGAAGAGGAGGCACUAGAAGCCAAAAUCCUGAAUCCCGAGUCUGUGACCAGCCACCAAACCGGUAUCCAAAGGACAAGAGUGGUACAAGCAGAAGCAGCAAAUGCCAUCUCCCAACAAAACUGCCCAGAGGAAAAGACAGACACAGUGUUUGCCUGACUCACAGUUCAAGGAGAAGAAACUUGAUUUUCCCACUGGGACCUGAUCCCACGCAUGACUUCUGCAAGACCAAGCAUGGCCACCAACAGAUACGCUGUCAGAGCCAAACACAAGCCUUCAGGGGAACGUGAUCUGACAAGCAGCUGCCACUGCUGAAAACUUUCUUUGUAGACCCUGACAUCUGGCUUCUCUGACUGCCAAGCCUGGCCUCCUCCAAGGUGCCACAGGAGAUGCGUCGGUGUGGCAGGUAGGACACCAGGAGGACAAAGAUCACUAUUUGACAUGACUGGGAGGUAGGAGAUGGGGUUGGCUGCAGGCCCUUUGUGAAUCCUUUUAUUUUCUACUGUUUUGCUCUUGGCUUUGCAUCUCCAAGGACAUUAAUUGUGGUAGUGGAAGAAGAGGAAGGUGAAAGAAAGUAAUGGUAAGGUUUACAUCAAAACUUUUAAUCUGGAUUUGUCUGUUCAGAAGGCUGAGAUAAAUUUAUGUGGCUUCAAACCCAAGUGCCUACUGCACCCAAAGAGAUGUGCACAUCAGUAUUGAAGGUGACAGCAGAAAGAAGGGGGGAGAUGGGGCAAGCAGUUAUGCAUUAAUGAUAUGUGAGGCUGAACAGUGAGGAUGGAAAUGGAGGUUGACAUAGUGGU
rnacentral:lncRNA from 1 species